rnacentral:rRNA from 1 species
GACGAACGCUGGCGGCGUGCCUAAUACAUGCAAGUCGAACGAAGUGGCGAACGGGUGAGUAACGCGUAAUCAACCUGCCCUUCAGAGGGGGACAACAGUUGGAAACGACUGCUAAUCCCGCAUACUGAAGGAGGGGAUUGCGUCUGAUUAGCUCGUUGGGGGGGUAACGGCCCAACAAGGCGAUGAUCAGUAGCCGGUCCGAGAGGGUGAACGGCCAAAUGGGGACCGAGACACGGCCCAGACUCCUACGGGAGGCAGCAGUGGGGACUCUUCCGCAAUGGACGAAAGUCUGACGGAGCAACGCCGCGGGAGUGAUGACGGCCUUCGGGUUGUAAAGCUCUGUUAAUCGGGACGCGGUACCGGAAUAGAAAGCCACGGCUAACUACGUGCCAGCAGCCGCGGUAAUUC